rnacentral:misc_RNA from 1 species
AUUCUGGAUUUACAAAUUCAGUGUCCAUAACCCUCUGGCGUCGAGAAACUCGAAACUUGACUCAAAAAGUUAAAUUACGGCAAGCGUCCUUCGUGGCAAGAAACUGGAAUUACAUGCUGAUGCAAGGUUAGUGGAAAAUAACUUUCAAAACCGAUAAAAUCGUUAUUUAUGAUAAGAAAGAAUAAUGCAUUGAUAUAACCUACAUCCCAGGAGCCCAAAAGAAUUAUUGACAAUUAUGACUUAAUUCUCAAUUGAUUAUAUUUCGUUUUGGGAGAUGUUAUAAACUAGUAUUUGUUUUAAGAUUUUUAUUGGCUUUAUUUAUGUUUUGCGUAAGCCGGAAGGAAAAAGUUCAAAAUAGGCUUAUCAUUAAAAACAAAAAUAAUGAGUCUCUUUAUUUGUCACGUGACUAUGGUAUAGGCAAUUAAAACAAUUAAAUAUAUAUAUAUAUAUCUAUAUAUACAUUAUAUGGCUUAAAGUAUUGAAAAUAUAACAAAGCUUUCCAUUUUAAACUGAAGGAUCCAAAAUCGUUCAUUUUAUUGUUUGGAUUUGUUGACAUUCCGAUUCAUUUCUUUCCCCAGAGCGAAUUCUAAACUACUGACAGAUAUCAAAUGGCGCGAAAGAAAUUCUAUAUUCAGAACGUUUAAACAUGCCUUCAAAGCGUGACUCUCUUUCGGAUUUUGCGGAAGUCGAAGAUAGCGAACGGCUCAUUAACGAUAAAACAGAAGAAUUGAGUAUAAGCGAAAAAAUUUCAACGGUUAGUAAAAAUUAUUAAUAAAUACGUUAAAGGAAGAAAAAACAAAGCCCCAAACGUUAUGUGAAUGGUUUUUUUAUUCUUUUUUUGGAAGGAAAUUUGCAUUCUGCAUUAUAUGUAACGCCCUAGCCAUUGGCAUACAUAUAUAUAUAUAUAUACUGUAUAUAUAUACAUAACUAUUCGCCUGUGGUAUGGGAAUCAUUCAUCUCACGUAACUUAUCAGGUGACGUUCGUGACGUUGAACAAGAGAAACUUAAAAGCGUCAUUUUUUCUUCCGAGGAGGAAAAUUUCCGAUAACUAAUAGAUGGCGCCAAAUGUUUAACCUCUUGUUUUUUUUAAAUGCUGAUGCCUGGAUAAACUGUACACUGUUCAUAUACCAUAUAUCACGCUCCGCCGAAAUAAUAAUCCUUCAACGGAUUGACAAUCUAAAGAAAAAGCAUAGAAUCUUUCAAUGAUAAAUUCCCUUAGGCCUGAGGCGGACCACAGAGGUGAUUAGUUGCUUUUGUUUCCCCAACUUCUCUCUUCCGAUUCUCAUAGAUCCAUCGAAAGUACAUUUCCACUAUGUUAUAGUCUUAAUAAAGUUAGUGCAAUUUCCGACAGCAAUUUUUAUAGUAUCAUCUUUUAUGCGUGUACUAUUCUACUUGAUAUCGUUUGGAUGUCUGGUCUAAAAUCUAAAGCAAAAAAUAACGGAUUUACAUCAUAUUGCCCCUAAUCAAGUAUUUUUUUCGCCGUAAUUUCGAUAAGCUUCAAACACUAUCGAAUAAAAUAUUUCACUGAUAUUUCUGCUUAUGCUGCAAAUUUUAACGACUCCGUUCCAUUUACUAUUAUUUAUACUGAUUUGUACUGCAAAUCGAUUUAUACACGUUCGUGCAAUAUGCACAGAUGUCUAGAAUCCUUUCACUCGGACAUUUCAUCAAAUGCAUAGUCAAUAUCGCAUAUCAGUUUGUAAAGGCCUCUUUAACUGUUCCCCCCUUAAAUAAGCGGUUUAUUAUUUGGCAUUUUACUGAAGAUUGUCAAGAUGGCUAAUUAGGGACGAGGACGCCUAAAACGAUUUCGUGCCCUGAAUAGUUUGGAGGUAAUUUAUAUUCUAUUUCAAAUGUUUUCUGUGGAAGAUUCUAUUGUAUUUAACAAACGAUGCUACUACAUCUGGGACGUUGCUUAUCCAAGCUAACGACGCUUGCCAAUAGGAAAAUCAGGCCACAGUCUAUUUCCUCCAUCACAUAGACACUUGACGGAAAGUGAUGAGAGAUAAAACUAACCAAUCAAUGUUUGCAUUUUGACUAAUUCUUCUUGUUGCGUAUAGUCUUUAAUACUAUUUUUUCAUUUUUAUUUCGUAAAUCGAUCGAGGUCGUUAUAGGUGUUUUAUCGACAGAUGGAGCACUUAUCAAGCCCCACUUAAGCAGUUGUUUAUAUUUAGAUAGCGUCACUACUUUAUUUAUUUAAAAAUUAAAAUUACAAUAACGCUUAAAAGAGUGUAGGUUAUUAAAGGCUAAUCUUCUUUUUAUUUCCGAUUUAUCUUUUCACUCAAGUAUAAACUAGAUCAUAUUAGAAAUGACGUAGUCACCUGUAACCUGAGGGGAUAAUUUGUUGGAUAGAACAAGCUAUUUUUCAUUUUCUUUUGAAAUAAUAAGCCUUUACUUUAUUUAAAAAGCAUACCGUGACACCAGCGCCUUACUUUCGCGACUCUCGGUUAACAUGAUGAAGUCGAGUUGUAAGAGCACACUUAUCCGUCCACAAUUCGCCAGUGCGGAUAGUCUGCACGAAAACCAAACGGACCAAGAACAGUGGAUUGGCCAAACUAGGAAUCCAGAUACAAUGACUAGUAAUAAAGUCAAUGUGCAGAUGAUUGUAACCGAUCAAGCAGGAGUUGAUGUCGAUAAAUUGCAAUAUAGGAGACCAGCUUAUGUAGCCGUUGGAUUUGUUCUAGCUUUAACUGCUUUCGUAGUUUUAUUUCCAGCAUUAGUUAACUCAAGAAUGCUUGGAAUGAAAUUUAAUGUGUUCACUAAGCGUAUCGGUCCAAGAUGUGAUGACUCAUACUGCAAGGUUGAAUUAGUGGAAAGCAUUCCGGAAAACGUGACUUUUAAUGAAACCGUAGCACAUUUGUCAACAUUCAACGCUUGGAAAACACUGAUCACAAAAGCAAAUAAAACUAUAAAAAUUGCAUCUUGCUAUUGGAGCCUAACUAGCAACGAUACGGGGCACUUUCACUUUUCUUCAGCUUGGCAAGGAGAAGAAAUAUUAAAAUUAUUAAAAAGAAGUUUGAGCGCAAGAAAGAUCAACGUCGAAAUUGUCACAGACGCGCAAAGUUAUAAUAAAAGUAGAAGAAAUUUAGAAGAGCUGGCGAAACUCGGUGCGAAAGUGAGACGUUUAGAUAUGAAAAAGCUUCUAAAUAGUAGUGGUAUCUUACACACAAAAAUGUGGAUUAUUGAUGAUAAGCACGCAUACGUGGGGUCGGCCAAUAUGGAUUGGAGGUCGUUGACAGAAGUAAAAGAAUUAGGGGUGCUAAUUACAAAUUGUUCGUGUAUGAUCAAAGAUUUAGUGAAGAAUUUUAUCGUUUAUUGGAAAUUGGCCGUUAAGGAUGCUGUUAUACCAGUUACUUGGCCAACUUCCUUGUCAACCUUGUAUGACAUAGAGUCCCCUAUGGUUGUGUCUUUAAGGGGUAUGAAGGAUAUUGCCAGACUGUUUUUUACAAAUUCCCCACAGUCUCUCUGUCCACGUGGUCGGACGAAUGAUAUCUACGCAAUUGUAUCCGUAAUCAAUAGAGCUCGAAAAUUUGUCUAUAUAUCCGUUAUGGAUUAUCAUCCCCUUAUUGAAUACCGUAAACCUGAAUUAUUUUGGCCAGUUAUCGACAAUGCACUUAGAAAGGUAGCUUUAGAGAAUUUCGUUGAAAUUCGAUUACUAAUAUCCAGAUGGAGGCAUACGAGAAAGGAUAUGUACCAUUUUCUCAAGUCUCUUAAAGCCCUCAAUGGAAUUGAAAAUGGUGCUGAUAAAGUGAAAUUUGAAGUAAAACUGUUUGAAGUUCCGGUAAGCAAAGCUCAAGAAAAGAUUCCCUACGCCAGAGUUAACCAUAACAAGUAUAUGAUCACUGAUAAUGCAGCUUUUAUAGGAACCUCAAAUUGGUCUGGAGAUUACUUCACUAAUACAGCAGGUACUUCGCUUAUAGUCAAUCAAACAAGAGCCGAUGGUACAAUAGAUGUCACUACAGUACAGAAACAGCUACUCGAUAUCUUUACUCGAGAUUGGAAUUCGCGUUAUGCCGUGUGGCUUUGAUAAUACGAGCAUAACAAUGCUAUUUAUCUUUUGUUACUGAAUUUUUAUCUGAUUUAUCAUAAAUAAGAAAUAUAAAUAAAUAAAUAGGAUAAACC